UGUUCAGUAAGGUGUGUUGAAUGUGAUGUGUGAUACAAAGACAUGCAUGUGUGAUGUGUUAAGAAAAAAGAUUUUUCUAAUUUCAGAAGGAUUUUUGAAAAGCACGAUUGCCUUGUUCUUUGACACCUGGAAGCAGUACCGCUGAGAAAGACUGGAGUUUGCCCCCUCUGGUGGCCAAGAUCUCUUUCUCUAUCCUGCUGUCAACCUCCUGGCUCCUUCCGCAUUGAAACUGGGCCAUUCGUUCUUGGUCUUUUCCUUCAGAGCUGUUCACUGUUCUUGUCAAUAAAGAUAGUGUUUUUAGAAGAAGCAUCUGAGCAAGAAAAACUGGCCAAACAGUGGUGCUUCAAGCCGUGCGAAGUGAGAGAGCUGAGCCACCAUGAGUUCUUCAUGCCUGGGCUGGUUGAUACACACAUCCAUGCCCCUCAGUACUACUUUGCUGGAAGUAACGUAGACCUGCCACUUUUGGAGUGGCUCACCAAGUACACAUUUCCGACAGAACAAAGAUUCCAGAGCAUUGACUUUGCUGAAGAAGUGUAUACCAGA